rnacentral:rRNA from 1 species
AAUCCAUAGGUUAAUGAGGCGAACCGGGGGAACUGAAACAUCUAAGUACCCCGAGGAAAAGAAAUCAACCGAGAUUCCCCCAGUAGCGGCGAGCGAACGGGGAGGAGCCCAGAGCCUGAAUCAGCAUGUGUGUUAGUGGAAGCGUCUGGAAAGGCGCGCGAUACAGGGUGACAGCCCCGUACACAAAAGCGCAUGUGCUGUGAGCUCGAUGAGUAGGGCGGGACACGUGGUAUCCUGUCUGAAUAUGGGGGGACCAUCCUCCAAGGCUAAAUACUCCUGACUGACCGAUAGUGAACCAGUACCGUGAGGGAAAGGCGAAAAGAACCCCGGCGAGGGGAGUGAAAAAGAACCUGAAACCGUGUACGUACAAGCAGUGGGAGCACAGGUUUACCUGUGUGACUGCGUACCUUUUGUAUAAUGGGUCAGCGACUUAUAUUCUGUAGCAAGGUUAACCGAAUAGGGGAGCCGGAGGGAAACCGAGUCUUAAUUGGGCGUUAAGUUGCAGGGUAUAGACCCGAAACCCGGUGAUCUAGCCAUGGGCAGGUUGAAGGUUGGGUAACACUAACUGGAGGACCGAACCGACUAAUGUUGAAAAAUUAGCGGAUGACCUGUGGCUGGGGGUGAAAGGCCAAUCAAACCGGGAGAUAGCUGGUUCUCCCCGAAAGCUAUUUAGGUAGCGCCUCGUGAAUUCAUCUCCGGGGGUAGAGCACUGUUUCGGCUAGGGGGCCAUCCCGGCUUACCAACCCGAUGCAAACUGCGAAUACCGGAGAAUGUUAUCACGGGAGACACACGGCGGGUGCUAACGUCCGUCGUGAAGAGGGAAACAACCCAGACCGCCAGCUAAGGUCCCAAAGUCAUGGUUAAGUGGGAAACGAUGUGGGAAGGCCCAGACAGCCAGGAUGUUGGCUUAGAAGCAGCCAUCAUUUAAAGAAAGCGUAAUAGCUCACUGGUCGAGUCGGCCUGCGCGGAAGAUGUAACGGGGCUAAACCAUGCACCGAAGCUGCGGCAGCGAACGUAUCACUUAAAGCGAUUCAGCGGGUUACGAUUGACGGAGCGAAGCGACGUCAAAGCGUAUACAAAGUCGAGUCGGUUUAAGGAUACGUUCGUUGGGUAGGGGAGCGUUCUGU